CUACGGGUUGCAGCAGUGGGGAAUAUUGGACAAUGGGGGCAACCCUGAUCCAGCCAUGCCGCGUGUGUGAAGAAGGCCUUUUGGUUGUAAAGCACUUUAAGCGAGGAGGAGGCUACUGGUACUAAUAUUACCAGCUAGUGGACGUUACUCGCAGAAUAAGCACCGGCUAACUCUGUGCCAGCAGCCGCGGUAAUACAGAGGGUGCGAGCGUUAAUCGGAAUUACUGGGCGUAAAGCGCGCGUAGGCGGUUUGUUAAGUCGGAUGUGAAAUCCCCGGGCUCAACCUGGGAAUUGCAUUCGAUACUGGCAAGCUAGAGUAUGGGAGAGGAAGGUAGAAUUCCAGGUGUUGCGGUGAAAUGCGUAGAGAUCUGGAGGAAUACCGAUGGCGAAGGCAGCCUUCUGGCCUAAUACCGACGCUGAGGUGCGAAAGCAUGGGGAGCAAACAGGAUUAGAUACCCGAGUAGUC
rnacentral:rRNA from 1 species